AACGCACGAGACCUGCGGACCUGCGGAGGGAUCAUUAACAAGUCCACAUAUGUGCGCGCUUCGGCGCCGUGCAUAUAAGCCCCGUGCAGCGAUGCACGUGUGACACAUUUUAUCGUUUGACUUAUAAAUGAGCAACAGAGAAAACUUUCAGCAAUGGAUCUCU
rnacentral:misc_RNA from 1 species